AAGGACUCUUAGCCACUGAGCCCAUCUCCCCAGCCCCCCACCCCCCCACCCCCCCACCCCGUUCUGCAUUUUUGUCCACCCCUGGUUCCCUACUGAGACCAGCAAGUCACUAACUCCUCACAUCAUGUCUGGAGGCUGGUCCUCUCCUUUGAACUCCCAACUGCGGAUUCACUGACCUACUUUGAUUUCCACACGGGCGUAACAUGGCUAGCUUCAACUCAACAUGAAUAAAAGUGAGCUCUUCUUUGCUCCCCCACCCCUUUGAGCUCCGUUCUCUCAUUCAUCUUGGUCACAUCCAUGGGAGACAGCUGUUUACCCUCACUCAGUGGUGGACAACAUUCUAGGGCAUGCAGGAAGCCCAAGAGAAAAGGAACCAGAAUUCAUGAAUAGGCAACAGCCACUCAGUGAAUGUGGGCCACAAGCCACUAGACUGCUGGUACUAGACAAGUGCUCUACAGGCUCGAUCUAAAGAGCUGGCUCACAUGAGUAUGGCUGCUGAGCCUAUAAUCCUGCGAUCUAUUAUCUACGAGCUGAAGGCUCAGGAAAGCUGACGAUGUAAUUCAGUCUCAGUCCAAAUGCCGGAGAACUGGAGAAGCUAGUGUUGUAAAUCACAGCCCUGGGGCUGGCAGUGAUGAGAAAUGUCCCAGCUGAUGCAGUGGAGCAAGAAUGAAGAGCCAGUUCCUCCUUCCUCUACCUCUUGUCUAUUCUAGCACUUGGUGGUCAGAGUGAGGCCCACCCACAUCAGAGAAAGCAAUCUACCCCGGCAAGCCCAUCCACUCACGCGGGUGGUAACCUCAUCCAGAAACACUCUCACUUUAAUCUGUAGUCAGACAAGCCUGCCAAUAGAAUUACGACCUAUCACAUGUCUCUUGAUGAAGCUGUAGAGUAGCCCAGGUGAGAAGUCAAUGAAGAGUGAUGGCAAUUGAGACCAGAAGAGGUAACAUUCCCAGCCUGGAAUAUUCCACAUAUUCAGAACCAGUAGACCAUACAGGUUGCCCCCUCUUCAUCAAAAUUCUACCUCUUAAUCUACUGCUGAAAAGACAUGUGCAGUCUUCACUGAAGUGUUCUGCAAAGCAGCAUGGGUUUAAAGUUCAGAAGCAAAUCAAAGACACGGGACUCCAAAGAGCUGAUUCACC
rnacentral:lncRNA from 1 species